UUCACGAAUAUGUUGCAUUGCAUUUAUGAUGUUGAUGUGGAUUGGUCAUUGGAUGAUCCUUUAGUCCUCAUAUGAUAUGAUGAUGCUACGGCAUGAUAUGGUAUGGAAGUCCAGGUUGUACCCAUUCUACGUCCCUGGCACGAUGUAAGAGAAAGUCCAGGUUGUACCCAUUCUACGUCCCUGGCACAGUUGGACUGUAUGAUAUGUUAUGUUAAGGGAAAGACCGGUUGUACCCAUUCUACGUCCCG
rnacentral:lncRNA from 1 species